UACAUAGGGCGCAAGCGUUAUCCGGAAUUAUUGGGCGUAAAGAGCUCGUAGGCGGUUUGUCGCGUCUGCCGUGAAAGUCCGGGGCUCAACUCCGGAUCUGCGGUGGGUACGGGCAGACUAGAGUGAUGUAGGGGGAGACUGGAAUUCCUGGUGUAGCGGUGAAAUGCGCAGAUAUCAGGAGGAACACCGAUGGCGAAGGCAGGUCUCUGGGCAUUAACUGACGCUGAGGAGCGAAAGCAUGGGGAGCGAACAGG
rnacentral:rRNA from 1 species